AUCCGGAUUCAUUGGGUUUAAAGGGUGCGUAGGCGGCUUUUUAAGUCAGUGGUGAAAUCUUGCCGCUUAACGGUAAAAUUGCCAUUGAUACUGAAAAGCUUGAGUACAGUUGAGGUAAGCGGAAUGUGUAGUGUAGCGGUGAAAUGCUUAGAUAUUACACAGAACACCGAUUGCGAAGGCAGCUUACUAAACUGUUACUGACGCUGAUGCACGAAAGCGUGGGGAGCGAACAGGAUUAGAUACCCUGGUAGUCCACGCCGUAAACGAUGAUCACUCGCUGUAUGCGAUACACAGUAUGCGGCCAAGCGAAAGCAUUAAGUGAUCCACCUGGGGAGUACGAUCGCAAGGUUGAAACUCAAAGGAAUUGACGGGGGCCCGCACAAGCGGAGGAACAUGUGGUUUAAUUCGAUGAUACGCGAGGAACCUUACCUGGGCUUAAAUGGGGAACGACAGCUGCCGAAAGGUGGCCUUCUUCGGACGUUCUUCAAGGUGCUGCAUGGUUGUCGUCAGCUCGUGCCGUGAGGUGUCGGGUUAAGUCCCAUAACGAGCGCAACCCUUAUCGUUAGUUGCCAGCGGGUCAUGCCGGGGACUCUAGCGAGACUGCCACCGUAAGGUGUGAGGAAGGUGGGGAUGACGUCAAAUCAGCACGGCCCUUAUGUCCAGGGCUACACACGUGUUACAAUGGCCAAUACAAAGGGCAGCUACCGGGUGACCGGAUGCUAAUCUCUAAAGUUGGUCUCAGUUCGGAUCGAAGUCUGCAACCCGACUUCGUGAAGCUGGAUUCGCUAGUAAUCGCAUAUCAGCCAUGAUGCGGUGAAUACGUUCCCGGGCCUUGUACACACCGCCCGUCAAACAAUGGAAGCUGGGGGUACCUGAAGUCUGUAACCGCAAGGAGCGGCCUAGGGUAAAACUAGUAACUGGUGUUAAGUCGUAACAAGGUAA
rnacentral:rRNA from 1 species